rnacentral:lncRNA from 1 species
AUAUAUUUGGGGGUGUAAAUGGACAGUGUGCUCAUUAGUAGAUAUUUAAUUUACCCUAGGGUUACGAUCAAGCUGGUUUUGGUUGUUGCCGAUGUCAAGAAGACUGACAGCAACAAGAGGUUGAUCACCGUCAUUGUAGGACCAGUAGGUGACUCCGGCAGGAAUAGCAACAACGUCACCUUCUCUGAUGCGUCGAACCUUCUGGUGUCUGUCUAGCUGUUCGAAGCUUUCUUGUCCCUGUUGGCCUUGCUGGCCUUGUUGUCUAUGACGGCCAUGCUGUCCACGGUCUUGCUGCUCUUGUUGUUCACGGCCUUGCUGUCCAUGACGCCCUUGCCAUUGUUGUUGACCCUGUUGUUCUUCAUCAGAUUGUUCUGAUUCUUCAAAAGACUCAGGACAGCCAGGGAAUACAGUAGAUAGAAAACCAUUUCCUGCCGUAAUUAUAUGAAUAUAUUACACACCAUAUACAGAUACAUAUUAAUACAUAUCCAACAUUUAUAAUAUUAGAUAGAAAUGGUUCCGGUUACACAGUACCUUGGACAAUAUAUAUGAGCUGUGGUGCGUGGGUGUAAGAAGGCAAGUGAAGGCCAUUUCUUUCAACAGUGAUUCGUUGAACAGCAACACCAGCACACCGGAAGUCGUCCUGGUUGUAGUUCCAGGACUCGAUCCUACCCGCUUCAGUCUCAAUGCGGUUAUCAGGUUCGCGGGCUUGGAUCUGAUCAAGUUGGCACUCAUUCUGCUGGCUCGACUGAGAUUGUUGGCGCGCUGCUAAGCAGCUGUGGAAGAGGACAAGCAAGCAAAGAGAAAAGGCGAGAGCUAUAGGCUUAGCCAUAGUGUUGAUCAGAUAAGUAUAUAGCUUGUCGUGGUGAAGCGGCGAGUAGAAGGUGUGGUAUUUAUACUUUUAUAGGAUAGAGAAGCUGAAGAGGGAAGGAUAAGUACAACAACGUACAUCUGUAAAUAGUCUGAAGCCAUUCUUAUCUUUGCAUGGCAAAAGCAUUUCACAUUCUUACACCUCAUUUCUCCCAGGGCAGGUGGCUCAUGGCUUCAGAGAAGAUACAAAGUGCCUAACAAGGUGGGGUUUUGCCAUGAUUGUCUGCAAGUGAAGCGAAAUUCUACUGCCUUGAACCUGGUCCAAUAAAGAGCAAAAUUUAUGAGAGGACUAAGAUAUGUUCUUACCAGUUUUAGUAAAAUAGUAUUACAUCAGCACCAACCUGAUGAACAUCUUCUAUAAUGUAGGCAAGGUUCAAAAAUGGCUGUUCUUAUCUUCCUAGUAGCCAUCCAUACUCUGUCAUUUUAUGAGUCAAAGUUUAAUAUUUAAAACUUAUGUAGACAUUCCAACAAUAAAACUUAAAAGUUCUUAACUCUAGUUGGUAAUACUUUGACACGUCAAACUUCUUUGAUUUCUUCCAGAAGCAUAAGCAUCUGGUUCUCACGUUGCUAAUCACUUCACCUAUCUAGUUUUCCUACCAAAAAGAAUCUGAUAUAGAUAGAAAAGUUAGCCAUAAAUGUAGGACUUACUGUGAACAAUGUCCCAAUUCCAACCUCAAAGAUUAGAAUCUAAAAGCUCGUAACUCAAAAUUAUACAACAUCAUUAUAUUCACAAUAAAAAGUACUCUGACAUAAGGUUUAGUUCAGUUUAGUGCUUCUUGAAAAAAAAGAUGAAGACUUCAACUGUUCUACAACAUAAUUGUCUAUAUCUAUACUCAAAAUGAUCAAUAAUCGUUUAUCCUACCAUAUUUCUUGUAUGGAAUAUCUUGUUACAUUUUGUUUUCAUAGCAAAAUGUUGCAAUAUUUGAGUGAUAGAUACACUGCCAACAUGGUGUACAAGUUCCACAGCCAAGAUUUUUGGGCUCACGACAACUCUUAAGGCUUAAGAACCAGUAAUGCAUGGUUGAACUAGGGAGCAGCCAUUGCUGAAGGCUCCUCCUCAAAACGAUCCAUUGCUUUAUUACCCCAUGGUUGGAAAACCUGCCAACAGUCAAAAUUUCCUCUUCCCCCGCAGUCGAUAUUUUCUCAUCUCAAUAAAUUUUAUUCAUCCAAAACAUAAAUCCUUUUGUUUAAGUACCCGCCAGUAUAUCUAAUAUCUGUGACAAGCCGAGUGCUGACAGCUGAUAUUUUAAAACUUGGGAUUCCCUAUAGCCCCUCUCAUUAUAACCCCUCUAAUGUUAAAGCUUCUGCUAAAGACACAUCUCUAGUUCCUCGAGCUAAUGCUACAUCCGCAAUGCAAUUGUUCCCAUGCAAUGAUUAGCCAGAGGAAAACUCGAGGAGCUCCCUUGACUCUGAUCAAUUUAGCCUCAAGUCUCGAACUUGUUCUUUGAAAGUCAGUGAAGAGGCUACUUCUUUAACUGGUGAUGGUGCUCAACCAAUGUUAAGCCAGACAGAGGAUAGUUAAGUGAAUCUGGUCGGGAAGACCUAAAAAGAGCAAAACUUCUUGCUUUCCCUUGCUACACAACGAGUACUACUAAAAGGUCGAUUCCAACAAAAGAGCUCAGGAUGUUGUUAUUAAUGGGGUUGGGACUUGAGUUCUCGGGUGGGAAUGUGAAGGUGCAGCAGUUGCUUUGCAACUCUACUUUACUGUCCUUGUCCAAGCUGAUAAGGGUGGGACGACAUUGAACGGCCUUAUUUACAGGUCCUCUAUAUAUUGGAAUACUUGACUGUCUCAGAAAGGACUUGCCAAGUGAUUCCCUAAUUCUAAUGCUCAGACCUCGGCCUAUUUGAAAUGUCUGAUAGAAACUAGUUUGAGGAAUAAUUAGCUUCUUUACCUGUGAGUACAUGUUUCUAUGGAAGGUUUCUGUAAUGCUAGCUUUCCUUCUGCUAUAAGGAAGGUGACCAAGCUUUUAAUCCUAACACCAAAGUUAAACCUUUUCCAAAGAAAGGGGGUCAAAACCUGUAGAAUAUUAUGUAACAGGUUGAACCUAACACAUAAAGUUCAGCAAUCAUCCAUGAUCCAUCUUCUAUCAUAUUUUUACUGAACCAAAGAUUAAGUAAUCAACACUGGCAGUUGUUUAUGUAAGUUAUUCUGAUAAAGAAAAAAGAUCCAUCACUACCCUUAAACUUAUUGUGCCACAAAACACAAAUGACUUCAAUUGUUCCUAUCGCAUAGAAACCAAACUUUUGUCAUUGUUUCUUGGAAUUAUUCUGUACACAUCACUUCUGUGCAAUCAUGCACAAAAUAGAAUCAAAAUACCAUGACAAUGACAAAGGGUUUAAUUCAAUUUGGCACUUCUUACCAACACUAUGCUCCUCCAAAUGGUCCUCAUAGUCAAAGGGACUUCCCCAUAUCCCUUGUUCCAAAAUUAGCUUCUUUACCCAGAAUCAAUCAUCCUACUACGCUCAAAAUAUCUAAUUUCUCAAUACUCUACUGAUUCAAUUGAGUUGAAGACAAAGUAGACAACAAUUAACAGAUCAAAUGUGAAAGUACAUAAUUCAAUAGACUCACGAUUGCUGAGUUGCAGGUCACUGGUUGUGGUGUGUCUGAUCAGCAGGAGCUACGUUUCAAGCACGCCCUCGUGAAGCAAUCUCGUCCCCGACGCGACCUCUGGUAGUCGGAAUAUGCGGCCGGAUAACAUGAUCCGGCGAUCCCGUCUUUCACAUUGUGUUUGGUUGGACAUUGGCGGUUCCAGCAGUUCAGUUACUAUUGGUCUUCACCCUCUCAGCGCUCAACCUCUUCUAGUCUCUCCUUUUAUUCUUGUACUUGUCAGUUGUCACAGUUGCUAUCUAUGUGAUUGUUCCACGUGGAUUUUAUUUUCCUGCAAAUUCCCAAAUUAAUUAUUAUUUUGUCCAAAAUUUCCAGAUGAAUUGUUUGUUGUCUUUGAUGUUUUUUUUUCUUUUGUAAAAAGAUCGUAUGACCCCUUAUAUGGAUAUUUUCAGGAGACUUCUUGCCGCCUUCACGCUGUUCACGUUCCACAUACAUAUAUACAUGCAGCUCAACAUGCUUUUUCACCAACUUCACUGAGUUCUUUGAUGAUUCUAAUCAUUCGAUGGAAUCACAAAAUAGUUAGUUUAUACAACAGAGUUCGUGAGCUGCUUAUUUUAUAGUUUAAUUUUGGCGUGACGUCAUUAGUUAAAGCUCGACGAAGCAUGCUGUUUUUCUUUUCUAUCAAGAGCGUGAUUAGCUGGUUUGGAAAUUUCAUUUCUAUUUUUCUCGUUCUUAUUGAGAGUCAAACUUUGAAGAAAUGAUAGUCAAACUUCGAAGAAAUGAUUGGAGUCAAACCUGAUGAUUACAGACAAGGGGUGAGCUGCUGAUAUGCAAUUACAGCCAAAGCAAAUUACUGACUUAAAUCUAAGGGGCAAAGCUUCACAAUUUAGAUAAAACACCAACUCACCAAGUAUAGUUGAGGCAAAAAGAAAAUUCAUUUAACGAGAAUAUGACUACAAGAACGUAGUAGCUCGUUAUUUACUAGUUUGUACAUAAGAUCUCAUAUCUUCCGAAGAUGCCAUAUAAAGGCCAUUUUUAUUCACUCUACCCUUUAGCUCGCUGGUACCAUAUUCACUAGCUUAUUCACCGCACAAAAAACACUACGUGCGCAUUACAUACAUAUUCAUACUCAGACAAACAUCUCAGCAAUAUCCAACCAGUUCCUGUGGGAUCGAGGAGACCUUGAUGAGCUCAAAGCAACAGUCUCCUGCCUGUUGUACUUGAGAGUCCUUGCCUGUUGUCGAUCAAUCUGGUAUGCGUUAGCGAGGACCACGUCAGGGAGUGCCCGCAAGACUGAGGUCCGGCCAGCAAGAGUGUUAAUCUUAGCAUUGUCUUGGGUCUUGAAAGCAAUGUAUUCGAAUCCAUUGUUGCUAGCCUUAUGCAACACUGCAUGGUUCUGUGGCACAAUGAAGAGCUGGCCCUGGCGGACCUCGUUGUCCAAGAUGGCCUGGCCGUUGUUGUUCACAACCUGAACCCUAGCACUACCUCUAAUGACGUAGUAGACUUCAUGGGCGUUCAAGUUCCAGUGAGGACUGUAGAUAGCAUUCUGCAAGUACCACAAACAAGAUUAGUAAUCAUAAUCAAUAACCUCAAUUGAUUCAAAAGGACCUAUAUCGUUGAUUAUAUAUACUUACGUUAUAGAAGAAGCCUCUCUCAGCGCUGAGGUCAAGGUGCCUGAGAAUAGGCAACUUAAAGCUGUUGAGGGUGCUGAUGCGACCGGCUUGGGGACUGAAGACGUCAGCGCGUGAAGGCCUGCCGAUAUUCUCUUUGAUCCUGAAGUUGCAGAAUGUCUCCUCAAAACCAUUCCGUCCUUGUCCCUGUUGUCUCUGAAUUCCCUGUUGUUGUCUUUCCUCCUGUUCUGACUCUGCUGGCUGAACAAAGUCGAGACGUCCUUUAACUCUCACGAUUUGGGGUCUGUUGUCGUUCUGUCCCUGAAGCUGCUGGGCAGUCUGUUGAUCAAUGUUCAGAGCGUCAGCGAGGAGCUGUGUGUUGAAGCCGGCGAAGAUGUUCUUGUUGUUUCCUUCUUGUUGCUGGUGCCUGCUCCUUCCUCCUUGCUGUUGCUGGUGCCUGCUCCUCUCUCGUUGCUGUUGCUGGUCCUGGUCCCAUUGACUUUGUCCUUGCUGGCCCCGACGACUCUGGCUUUGCCCGUGUUGGUUAAACUCAUCUUGUGGAUUACCAGCCAGAUAGAAUCUCUACAUACAUAACACAUCAUGCAUGUGAUCAGAAAAAACUAGCAAGCCAACAGUAAGAGUGCUAUUGUACCUCCACAAAAGAAAAUAUAUACAUAUCACAUUUGCUAAUUAAUUUACCCUGGGGUUACGGUCAAGCUGGUUUUGUUGGUUGCCGAUAUCAAGAAGAUUGACAGCAACAAGAGGUUGGUCACCGUCGUUGUAGGACCAGUAGGUGACUCCAGCAGGAAUAGCAAUCACAUCACCUUCUCUGAUGCGUUGAACCUUCUGGUGUCUGUCUAGCUGCUCGAAACUCUCUUGUCCCUGUUGGCUGUGCCGCCCUUGUUGUCUAUGACGACUUUGCUGUCCAGGGCCUUGUUGCCCUCGUUGACCACGGCCUUGUUGUUCAUACUCUUCCUGUUCUUGUUGCCCGCGGCCUUGCUGUCCAUGGCGCCCUUGCUGGCCUUGCCACUGUUGUUGACCUUGUUCUUCAUCAGAUUGCUCAGAUUCUUCAAAAGUUUCAGGACAGCCAGGGAAAACAGUUGAUAGAAAACCAUUGCCUACAGGGUAUAAAUGAAUGAUUUUAACCACAUACGUACUUGUAUUCAAAAAAUUUAUACUAAAUUUAACCAAUUGCAUUUAUACAAUACCUUGCACUAUGUAAGUGAGUUGUGGAGCAUGGGAGUAAGAAGGCAAGUGAAGGCCAUUUCUUUCUAUGGUAAUUCGUUGAACGGCAACACCAGCACAUUGGAAAUCGUCCUGGUUGUAGUCCCAGGAUUCGAUCCUACCCGCUUCAGUCUCAAUGCGGUUAUCAGGUUCACGGGCUUGGAGCUGAUCUAAUUGGCAUUCAUUUCGCUGGCUCGACUGAAAUUGUUGGUGAGCUGCUAAGCAGCUCUGGAAGAGGACAAGCAAACAGAGAGAAAAGGCGAGAGCUAUAGGCUUAGCCAUAGUGAUGAUCAGAGAGAUAGCUAGCUAGUUGUGGUGAAGCGGCGAGUAGAAGGUGUGGUAUUUAUAGGAUAGAGAAGGUGAAGAGACAAAAAUAAGUACAAUAACAUUAAAGAUCUGAAGCCGUUCUUCUCUUUGCAUGGCAAUAGCAAUUUACAUUCUUCCACCUCAUUCCUUCCAGGGCAGGUGGCUCAUGACUUCAGAGAAGAUACAAAGUGCUAUGAAUAAGGUGGCAACCAGAAGCGGUUUGCAAUUGUCUGCAAGUGAAGCAAAAUUUUACACCCUUGAACCUGGUCCCAAUACAGGGAAAAAUUAAUGAGAGAAGUCAGAUAAGUUCGUUCUAAAUUUGGUAAAAUGAUAUUACAUCAGCCCCAACCUGAUGAACAUCUUCUAUGAUCCAGACAAGGUUCAAAAAUGUAAGAUCUCAUCGGAAAAAAAAUGUAUGUUAGAUAAGUACUGAAUGAUGUGUCAGGAACCUCAAGACAUUUUUCUAUAUGCAAUUUAUCAUUGUUUCACAUUCUUACAGCUCAUUUCUUUGACCAGGUGGCUUAUGGCUUCAGAGAAGACUCAAAGUGGCUUGAACAAUGUGUCAACCAGGUGGGAAUGACAUGAUUUUCAAAUGCAGCAAAGAUUUACUGCCGUGAAUAAUGCAAAAUUAAUUAUACAAACAAGAUCUAUAGCUGUUCAAUGCAUAGUUUGGAAAAGUAAAAUCAUACCAACACCAACCUGAUAAACUCAUCUAUGAUGCAUGCAUGGUGAAAAAUUAUAACAUUUUCAUCUUUCCUACAGUAAUCAGCAUAGUCUAUCCUUUCAUGAAUCAAAAUUAAUACUUCAAGUCUAUGCACAUAAAAUCUUACUAAAAAUAAUGCAGUUUAGUGGUUUAUAUAAGUUUCUUUGCAAACAAAUCUGAACUCCAUCACUAUUCUUGAAACUACUGUGACCCAUCAACGUUAUUACCUCAGCUAUCAACCAUUCUCAUGUCAUAAAGAUUCAGAAUUUGCAAUAUUACUCCUAGAAGUUCUCUGUUCAUCUACAGAAAGGAGUCUCGUAGAAGCUACUGUUGUGAUAGAAGCUAGGAUAGCUAAUGCUGCAAAAUUGAUCUCCGAGAAGCUAUUGUUGUUAAAAUCCCAUCUCAUAAAAUUUUCUCCUGUUUCAAAAAUUAAAAAAUAUAAAAAAUUGUCUCCCUUUGAUUAAAGCACCCUGAACACCAGAAAUGGUGUCACUUAAAACCUCUCUCAAUCUCCAAGCUAACACUUUUGCGAUAAUUUCAUACAAGCUUGAUAAUCAAGCUGUGGACUUCUGUAGAUGAACAGAGAACUUCAAGGAGAACUACCACUUUUGGACUAAUUUUACAACCAAGACUUUACUUCUACUACUUUGUUAUAAAAGAUUGCAAGGCAUCAAUAGACGAUAUAUAGUUGAUAAGACUGGAUGCAAUCCACUCAAAUGCAUUUCAAAAAACUAUAUUCAAUGAGUAAUUUGAGUUGUUUUUUUCUUCCAACUCAAAAACUUGAACAAACCUCGAUUCUAAUACUCUAAACAAAGAAUUUAACCCGGAAUCGAAAGAUCAAUACUGAAAAACAUAAUCUGAUACAUAAACAUGUGUUAUCAUUUGUAAAACAUCAGAUACAACCUAUUUGCACAAAAUGGGUUACACAUCUCUAACAAAGGCUUAGACUUUAGAUAUCAAAAGAAUUCCAAUUUGUCCUCUUCUACACAAUUCUAACAAAUGCUCAAGUCCUUUAAGGCCUUGUAUUUAGAUGCUAAGAAGAGUAAAAAAUGGGCCUAUUGGCAGGAUUUAAAUUGAAAAUCUUGAUUUAAAAAUGGUUGAAUUCCAGAUCAGUCUACAGAGAAUCUAGUAAUUCUAUGCUUCAAAAACUCAUUUGCCCCUCUUUAAAUCCUCACAAUGUGGGGUUGAUUAGCUUCCUUUAACCAAGAGUAACAUGGUUCUAUGAAAAACAAGCAUUAAUGAAUCAAACAGAGAUCACAACACAAUAACAAAUAGAUCAAACUUUGAAAUCAACUAAUAUUAGACUCCCAAAUUCCAAGUUCAAGUAGGCUGUUGUUGA